CUUGAGUCCUGACUCCAAGGGUUUUUCCUGCCGAUACCACCACCUAGUCUUUUCUUUUGGUUGAAGCUGCAUUGUGGGACUAAUUCCUUUCAUCCAUUCACUAGGGUAGGGAAAGAGCAGCUAUGUCUAGAUGCACCAACUCCUUCUUGUGGCAAAUUUCCAUGGGUGCUUGGGAUUCCCAUAGAACCUGAGGUUCCUGUAAAUACUGAAACGACUCCACUGCAUUGCAACAUGAUUAGACAUUUGCAUCCAGGGCAGCGGAAGGAUUGCAUGGGCCCAGUGCCAUCUUACUAACACCGAACAAGAAGGAAAAUGUAAGUUUUUUUGCCCAUCAAGAACUGCUUCAAAUGAUGACACUUUUGCUUUUAUUUCAUUGUUGCUACAUAGCAUUUUGUAUUUAAGAUGCGUAGGCCUCCAUCACCAUGAUUUUCAGAUGCUCUAAUAUUGACUGACCCGCUAGUCAUUUCUCACACGCAGGACAGGUUCCUGUUAUACGAUGUGCCCCUUGCA
rnacentral:lncRNA from 1 species